UACCAUGCAAGUCGAGCGGUAGAGAGAAGCUUGCUUCUCUUGAGAGCGGCGGACGGGUGAGUAAUGCCUAGGAAUCUGCCUGGUAGUGGGGGAUAACGCUCGGAAACGGACGCUAAUACCGCAUACGUCCUACGGGAGAAAGCAGGGGACCUUCGGGCCUUGCGCUAUCAGAUGAGCCUAGGUCGGAUUAGCUAGUUGGUGAGGUAAUGGCUCACCAAGGCGACGAUCCGUAACUGGUCUGAGAGGAUGAUCAGUCACACUGGAACUGAGACACGGUCCAGACUCCUACGGGAGGCAGCAGUGGGGAAUAUUGGACAAUGGGCGAAAGCCUGAUCCAGCCAUGCCGCGUGUGUGAAGAAGGUCUUCGGAUUGUAAAGCACUUUAAGUUGGGAGGAAGGGCAUUAACCUAAUACGUUGGUGUCUUGACGUUACCGACAGAAUAAGCACCGGCUAACUCUGUGCCAGCAGCCGCGGUAAUACAGAGGGUGCAAGCGUUAAUCGGAAUUACUGGGCGUAAAGCGCGCGUAGGUGGUUUGUUAAGUUGGAUGUGAAAUCCCCGGGCUCAACCUGGGAACUGCAUUCAAAACUGACAAGCUAGAGUAUGGUAGAGGGUGGUGGAAUUUCCUGUGUAGCGGUGAAAUGCGUAGAUAUAGGAAGGAACACCAGUGGCGAAGGCGACCACCUGGACUGAUACUGACACUGAGGUGCGAAAGCGUGGGGAGCAAACAAGAUUAGAUACCCUGGUAGUCCACGCCGUAAACGAUGUCAACUAGCCGUUGGGAGCCUUGAGCUCUUAGUGGCGCAGCUAACGCAUUAAGUUGACCGCCUGGGGAGUACGGCCGC
rnacentral:rRNA from 1 species